GUUAUGGCAGCGGAGGGAAUGAAGCCGGAGAAACACCGUAAAGCACGCGGGACUGGGAGUCUCCUGAUGUCAAUCAGCUGGCGGCGAAGCGGGGGCAGACGGGCAGCCCAGUGUGCGGGAAGAGCGUUUGCGGAAGUGACGUGACGGAAGUGGAUGUGCGCUAAUACCAUUGGUUCCCGACGCCUGAUGAGACGUGGACGAAACGCAGUGAACUGAGGAGUUGUUUGUUCCUUUUAUUUACAAAUAAUAUACAGACAGCCAACAGAGAUGGUGACUGAUGUACAGCUGGCCAUUUUCGCCAACAUGCUCGGCGUCUCACUCUUCCUGCUGGUGGUUCUUUACCACUACGUGGCCGUUAACAACCCUAAGAAAUUGGAGUGAUGCUGUAUGGCUGAAG